GCCCUCGCUGCGAGCCGAAGGGAGAGCGCCCGCCCCGCUCGCGGCCGCCGGGCGAAAGGCGGUCCGCACCCCGAGCCCGCACCUGGCCGCCGCGCACCCGGCAGGAAGGGGCGGAAGGAGCGCGCGCGGGGCCGCCCUUUUUGUAUUCGCUCGCCUGUGCGUCCGCGAGACCGGAGCAGGGCUGCACCCCGGCGCGCGCAAUGGCGAAGGCGCCUCUGUUUGGGGAGGCGGCUCUACCUGCCCGCCCCGCGCCCGGCCCCUCCCCCACGCGGCGCAGGUAGAGGCACCUGGCGGCGCCGCCCAUUGGCUCCUUCAAACCACGACGUGGCAGCGGCGGGGGAGGAGGCCGCUUGGGGAGGGGGAGAGGGGCGGGAGACAAUGGCACGAUGAAUGGAGAGGCAGGGGCCGGGCGCACGGGGAGGCCCGAGGGGCGGGGACCAGGCGGCGGCGGCCCCGCGGGCAGGCCAGGCGGGCGGGAGGAGGGUGAGGGGCCCCGGGGGGCGGGGGCGGAGUCGCGGGCUGGGUCGGUCCUGGACGUGAACGGCGGCUAGGGGGGCUGCAGGAGAGGCUGGCGGCUAGAGGUCCCGGACGCGGUCGGAGGUCCCGAGGGUCAGGCGAAAGGAGGCCAGAGCAGGAGCCCUGCCGCGGCCCCUCCCCUUGGCCAGGCCCACCUUUCGGGAAGCGUCCUCGCGCGGCCGCCGAGUCACCCCAGGAUGCAGAGACGCACCGCGCGAGGCAGCGGGGACCCUGCUCCCUUUGCUUCCCACUUUUCCUUGCUAUCCCAUGUUGGCCUCGGGUGCUAGUUCAAGACCGGAAAACCCUCAGGGUUGGGGCCGGUUCUUUUGAUUUGUCUUGAGCUUCAAAUAAAAUGCACCUACCCCGCGUGCCUAAUAAAGGAUUUCCACAAUCGG